CAGAGCUUCGAAGCCUGGAGGGUUUACUCUUCAGGCGAGAACUCCACCCUUUGUUUACAUUACCUUUGUUGCUUUAGCAGGCCCGUCCUUCGGGGCCACCGGCAAUAGCUGGUCCGUGCCUGCUAGAGGACCUAAAACUCAUGUUAAUAAAGUUGUCUGAGUACUAUAUAAUAGUUA
rnacentral:misc_RNA from 1 species